rnacentral:ncRNA from 1 species
UCCAACGCCGCAUCGCCGGCGUUCCGGACGAGCGCGCCGUACCCGGUCACGACAAGACGGUGCAGU